rnacentral:rRNA from 1 species
GACGAACGCUGGCGGCGUGCCUAAUACAUGCAAGUUGAGCGCUGAAGGUUGGUACUUGUACCGACUGGAUGAGCAGCGAACGGGUGAGUAACGCGUGGGGAAUCUGCCUUUGAGCGGGGGACAACAUUUGGAAACGAAUGCUAAUACCGCAUAAAAACUUUAAACACAAGUUUUAAGUUUGAAAGAUGCAACUGCAUCACUCAAAGAUGAUCCCGCGUUGUAUUAGCUAGUUGGUGAGGUAAAGGCUCACCAAGGCGAUGAUACAUAGCCGACCUGAGAGGGUGAUCGGCCAAAUUGGGACUGAGAAACGGCACAAAAGCCUAAGGGAGGCAGCAGGAGGGAAACUUCGGAAAUGGACGAAAGUCUGACCAAGCAACGCCGCGUGAGUGAAGAAGGGUGUCGGAUCGUAAAACUCUGUUGGUAGAGAAGAACGUUGGUGAGAGUGGAAAGCUCAUCAAGUGACGGUAACUACCCAGAAAGGGACGGCUAACUACGUG